rnacentral:rRNA from 1 species
CACAAAGGUUUCCUCUGAACGGGUAGAAAUCGUAUCUAGAGUGUAAAGGCAUAAGGAAGCUUGACUGUGAGACCUACAAGUCGAGCAGGGACGAAAGUCGGUCUUAGU